UGCCGUGACAGGAUUCGAACCUGGGUUAUUUCGGCCAUAACGCAAGAUCCUAACCACUAGACAAUCACGGC
rnacentral:tRNA from 1 species